rnacentral:rRNA from 1 species
UACGGGGGGGGCAAGCGUUGUUCGGAAUUACUGGGCGUAAAGGGCGCGUAGGCGGCCUGCUAAGUCGGACGUGAAAUCCCUCGGCUCAACCGGGGAACUGCGUCCGAUACUGGCGAGGCUUGAAUCCGGGAGAGGGAUGUGGAAUUCCAGGUGUAGCGGUGAAAUGCGUAGAUAUCUGGGAGGAACACCAGUGGCGAAGGCGGCAUCCUGGACCGGCAUUGACGCUGAGGCGCGAAAGCAUGGGGAGCGAACAGG